UUUAGAGGCGAUUUGUAUCCUCUCUCCCCCCUCUCAAGUUUCUCUCUCCUUGCGUCCCCAUCGUUCUAGGGUUACAUUUCCUCGCUGUCAUCCCUCACUAAAUCGCGUCCCAGCUCCAUUGAUUACCUUCGUUUCGUCACUAUACUACCCGCGUUUCUAUCACCAUCGGCUACUUAGUAUGGCGUCGACGUCAAGCGGCAAUGUCGGCGCAGGAUGCGGCAGCGGAGGGGAAAUGGGGGUUGCCACGGUGAAGAUGAGGGCGGGGACAACUUCAGUGCAGAAGAAUAAAGAAAGGGAGGGUGUUGGAGUGGUGAUGAUGAAGAAGGUGAAAAGAGAAAGAGGAGCGUCUAAAUGAAACAAAUUCCAUCUACCGCGACGUUACCAGUAAUUUGGGUUGAUUUGGAUCAUGAUGGUCGGAUUAGUGGUGCCGAAGCGGUCGCUUUUUUUUCAAGGAUCUAGCUUGAAUAAACAAGUUCUUGCCCAGGUU